GUGUCAGCAGCCGCGGUAAUACGGAGGUUCCAAGCGUUGUUCGGAAUUACUGGGCGUAAAGGGAGCGCAGGCGGGUCGGUAAGUCUAAAGUGGAAUCCCGGGGCUCAACCUCGGACGUGCUUUGGAUACUGCCGAUCUUGAGUUCGCGAGAGGAAAGCGGAAUUCAGGGUGUAGCGGUGAAAUGCUUAGAUAUCCUGAGGAACACCAAUGGCGAAAGCAGCUUUCUGGCGCGUUACUGACGCUGAGGCUCGAAAGCGUGGGGAGCGAACGGGAUUAGAUACCCCGGUAGUCCACGCCGUAAACGUUGUGCACUAGGUGUAGGAGGUAUCGACCCCUUCUGUGCCGCAGCUAACGCAUUAAGUGCACCGCCUGGGGAGUACGGUCGCAAGGCUGAA
rnacentral:rRNA from 1 species